GCGGCACAAUCCUCUGGUGAAAUGAAUUUCUGGAUGAAAUCAGAUCGAAACGCCGAUUAUUUUCAGCUAACAGGUUUGGAUUUAAACGGGGAAUUUCGUUUCUAAGGACCCGUUUUGCAGCGCUCGGAGAUUCAAGCAGCAGGCGGUAGUGACUGGAACAGUAUCAAUUCUCAAUGUUUCACAGUCUACUGAAGAAACUCGGCUCCUGAACGCGCAUCUGUCUUUGGAUUCUAACAGAUUUAAUGCUCCAGCGUCAACUUUCCGAAACACGGUAACCACUCGCCUUAAAUGAGGCCCAAGACUUGCUGUUCUGCCCCUUCUCCGGCACAACACUCAAUAAUAGGCCGCCGAAGAGGGAAUCUGAGAGGCAGUUGGAUGGAAGGAUGGGGACAAACUGCAGAGAUGAAGGGCUUACGCGACAUAGUUGCAGUUGAUGGGCCAAAUCAUCCUCAGUUUCCGUGAUUUCAUUCCGGAUCGUGCAAAACCAGUGCUGAUGGAACUCAUUGACUUUUACAUGACGAGAGUUUGUAAUAGAAUCUUAUGAAAAUG